rnacentral:ncRNA from 2 species
ACCUGGGGUAGAGGUGCUUUAAUAAAGAGUAGGUAUAAGUAGUUGGCAAACGAUGAUUUAUGCUGAAAGGUAUUACGGCCGAAGGAAUAACUUAUUAUGCGGUAAUUUAUUUCUGGGGAUUCAUAAAAUAUGUGAAUAACUGUCACGAAAGUGUUGAGCUACAAGGUGC